AAGAAAGUGGCAGAGCGGUUAUGUAGUUGGCUUGAAACCAUCUCACGGGGGUUCAACUCCUCCCUUUCUCG
rnacentral:tRNA from 1 species